rnacentral:tRNA from 1 species
AGGAGUGUGGUAUAGUGGUUUGAGCACUAGACUAUGACUCAGGAGACCAGGAUUCAAAUUCCUGCUCAGCCA